UUAGUCAUUCGUAGUCAUAACAUCCGUUUGGUUUUUCAGUUUCAUAUUUCACCGAUGUUGCUAAAUGGGAUAAGGAUCGAGCUGAUCAUUGUUUUUUAGAUUAAUAAUUUCGGUUGUUAACGGUGAUUUAUAUCACUCGAGAGUUAAUCGGAAAUAGAGCCCUAAGUGUUUGAAUAGUACACCUACAUCAUUAUUGAAUCCUGCCUUUCAAGUUGAAAUAAAUAUAAGUGGGCUGUAUAUUCGUAAUACAUGAAACAUAAAAACAUAAAAUUGUAAUUUGAAAGCUGCUAAAUGGAGAGAAGUAGUCUUAUGGUCUAAGUUUAAAAAAUGUCCGAAUACAAAAGAAGAAAAACAAAAACAGAAGCAUUAGUUUAUUUGGGCCCGCAGCCGUUAACUCUCCACUGCUGAAGAUAAGUCUUCCCUAUAAACAAAGUUUUGCUGGUAGUUGGCGUGCUGUUUUUGCCACGCUUGGCAGGCGAAUUGACAACCGCGAUUUGGCUUUUAAUGGCCCACAGGAAAGAAAAAAGUAGCCUAUUCUAUACCGGACCACAUCUUAGAUAAGUAUUGUUAUAAGCUUAAAUUUUACUUGAAGAAUCAAUUUUCAUGGAGGGUCAACAGCCAGACGGCGUUGCAUACUCUUUGUUCCAAUCCUGUCGACUAGCGAACUAGCGACGCGACGACGUUGCACGACGUGGCAGGACAUUACCCUUCUCAUCUGUUAUUUACCCGUGAACUUACAGUUUUCAUAAAUAAAUAUAAAAUAUACGAUGUAUAUAGGUAAAUAUUUUAAUUUUAUAUAUUCAUCCUGAAGUGGCAUAUAACUUGGCUUCUUUGUAUAUUCUGCCAUCUGUAUAAUGGAUUGUUCUAUUGGAUUAUUUGACAUGAUUCUUAAUGCCGCACCACUUGCCAUAAGCAAAUAUUUCAUCCUCAUACUCAUUUUAUUACCGACCUUAACAAUUUUAAUAUAUUAAUAAAUUUGUUACUAGAAUUGGUUUUAUUCGUAUUUUGUAAGAUAUUGAGAAAUCGUUGUUUGGGUCACUAGAAGCGGCACAUUUAAGCAUAUAUUGUCGUGAGUGCUGUUAGUUAUAAAUAAAAAUCAUGUAUAUUGUGAGAUUACUCUUGAAAUUAGUAAAAAUAACAACGAUAAAAUUAGAGACGCCUCCCCACAUGGAGACAGGCCCCGGCGAGAUUCGAACUCGCGAUCUCCUGUUUACUAGACAGGCGCUUUAACCAACUAAGCCACGGCGCCCUCAUUACAUGUGUUUCAAAUUUAGAAAUGUAUUAUCAUUAUCAUUCUCAUGUUUAUACAUUACGUUAUAUUACAUCUAUGAUUUAUAUAUAAAUAGGUAAAUGCCCUUUGAUGAUUGUCCUUUUCUUAUACCUUAAGUACUCAGAAUUUUGAUUCUCAACAGGUAGGUCUUAAGAUGAACAUAGACAAGACUAAAAUAAUAUCUAACAUCUGUGUCACACCUAUACCAGUUACGAUUAAGAACAUUAUGCUCGAAGUUGUCGACGAGUAUGUAUGUAUACCUGGGACAAAUUGUCCGAAUAGAUAAGUUCAAAUUCGUCCGAGAGGUGAAUCGACGAAUCCAACGUGGCUGGGUAGCUUACGGAAAAUUACACCACAUCUUUUCAUCUAAAAUACUUCAAAGUUUGAAGACAAAGGUUUCAACCGGUGCGUGAUUCCAGUGAUGAUUUAUGGAACCGAAACAUGGUCCUCCACGAUUGUCCGUAUGUAAAAGCUUCAAAUUACUUAGCGGGCUAUGGAGAAGGCCAUGCUCAUAGUUUCUUUGCGUGAUAGAAUCCGAAAUGAGGAUAUCCACAAAAGAACUAAAGUAACUGAUAUAGCCCGAGGUAUAAGUAAGCUGAAGUGGCAAUGGGCUGGUCACAAAGCUCGAAGGAUCGACGACCGAAUGGGAAAAAAGGUUUUUGAGUAGCGAGCAUUUACGAGCAAACGCAGUGUAGGACGACUCCCUACUAGAUAGAGUGACGACCUUAAAUACACUGCAGGGAGUCAGUGGAUGCAGAUGGCUCAGGACCGUUGCUUAUGGCUGUCUAUGGGGGAGGCCUAUGUCCAGCAGUGGAUAGAUAAUAGCUGAGAUGAUAAUGUACAUAUUCAUAUUAUUAUUAUAAAAUCAAACAUGUUGUCACACUGAAUUUUUUUUAAAUAAUAGUAGGUAUCGAGUAUGAAUAGAAGUUGGUAAAAUAAUCGACAAUUAUUAUCACCUACCUAAACGAUGACCUGGGAUUUCUUAAGUGUAAGUUUAUUCGUAACAUUAUGCUGUCAUUGGGUAGGUCUAUAAGCAUACGCUUUGGUAGAGCAAUUAGUCACAUAAUUCACGUGAGUAUAAUAUAAUACGUCUAUGGCAUAUUCAAUCUAUUUAUUUAUGUUUCUGUUAUAUUUUUAUAGAAUCGAUUCAAGGAUCUUUAUAUGAUGAAUCGAUAUUACUGUUGUUCCACCAAUUUGCAUUAAAAUCAA